GAUGAACGCUGGCGGUAUGCUUAACACAUGCAAGUCGAACGGACUCUUCGGAGUUAGUGGCGGACGGGUGAGUAACGCGUGAGAAUCUGGCUUUGGGUUCGGGACAACCACUGGAAACGGUGGCUAAUACCGGAUGUGCCGAGAGGUAAAAGAGAAAUUGCCUGAGGAUGAGCUCGCGUCUGAUUAGCUAGUUGGUGAGGUAAAGGCUCACCAAGGCAGCGAUCAGUAGCUGGUCUGAGAGGAUGACCAGCCACACUGGGACUGAGACACGGCCCAGACUCCUACGGGAGGCAGCAGUGGGGAAUUUUCCGCAAUGGGCGAAAGCCUGACGGAGCAAUACCGCGUGAGGGAAGAAGGCUCUUGGGUUGUAAACCUCUUUUCUUAGGGAAGAACAAAAUGACGGUACCUAAGGAAUCAGCAUCGGCUAACUCCGUG
rnacentral:rRNA from 1 species